rnacentral:rRNA from 1 species
CCUACGGGAGGCAGCAGUCGGGAAUAUUGGGCAAUGGAGGAAACUCUGACCCAGCAAUACCGCGUGAAGGAUGAAGGUUUUCGGAUUGUAAACUUCUGUUAUAAAGGAAGAAAAAAAUGACGGUACUUUAUAAGUAAGCCCCGGCAAACUAUGUGCCAGCAGCCGCGGUGAUACAUAGGGGGCAAGCGUUGUCCGGAAUGACUGGGUGUAAAGGGUGUGUAGGUGGCUUAUUAAGUUAGAGGUGAAAGCCCGAGGCUCAACUUCGGAACUGCCUUUAAAACUGGUUGGCUUGAGUGUGGGAGAGGUAAGUGGAACUCCUAGUGUAGCGGUGGAAUGCGUAGAUAUUAGGAAGAACACCAGUGGCGAAGGCGACUUACUGGACUGUAACUGACGCUGAGGCAUGAGAGCAUGGGGAGCAAACAGGAUUAGAUACCCUUGUAGUC